rnacentral:rRNA from 1 species
GAUGAACGCUGGCGGCGUGCCUAAUACAUGCAAGUCGAACGCUGAAGCUUGGUGCUUGCACCGAGCGGAUGAGUUGCGAACGGGUGAGUAACGCGUAGGUAACCUGCCUGGUAGCGGGGGAUAACUAUUGGAAACGAUAGCUAAUACCGCAUAACAGUAGAUAUUGCAUGAUAUCUGCUUGAAAGGUGCAAAUGCAUCACUACCAGAUGGACCUUCGUUGUAUUAGCUAGUUGGUGAGGUAACGGCUCACCAAGGCGACGAUACAUAGCCGACCUGAGAGGGUGAUCGGCCACACUGGGACUGAGACACGGCCCAGACUCCUACGGGAGGCAGCAGUAGGGAAUCUUCGGCAAUGGGGGGAACCCUGACCGAGCAACGCCGCGUGAGUGAAGAAGGUUUUCGGAUCGUAAAGCUCGGUUGUAAGAGAAGAACGAGUGUGAGAGUGGAAAGUUCACACUGUGACGGUAUCUUACCAGAAAGGGACGGCUAACUACGUG